CUACCGGGGUAUCUAAUCCUAUUUGCUCCCCACGCUUUCGUGCCUCAGCGUCAGUAGUGGACCAGUAAGUCGCUUUCGCCACUGGUGUUCCUUCUAAUAUCUACGCAUUUAACCGCUACACUAGAAAUUCCACUUACCUCUUCCAUACUCAAGCUCUACAGUUUCAAUGGCGAACCGAAGUUAAGCUUCGGACUUAGACCACCGACUUAUAAAGCCGCCUACGCACCCUUUACACCCAAUAAAUCCGGAUAACGCUCGCUCCCUACGUAUUACCGCGGCUGCUGGCAC
rnacentral:rRNA from 1 species